rnacentral:antisense_RNA from 1 species
AGCAAUGAAAAUUAGCAAAAAAAAUAACCCUUCUUUUCUCGACUUUUUAAAUCUAUCAUAAACAAUUAAAAUUGUCAAUAACUAAAAUGGAGCCCACGACCGGGCUCGAACCGGCGACCUCCGCCU